UGACUGACAAAUCCAACAGGAUGUAAGAGAGUAGAUGGAAGGCUGUGUUGAUGAGGGUGGGAAAAGGAGUAGGUCCAGAGUUCAUAGGACAAGAGAGAAUGUCCUUUAGUGGGGGAGGGAUAGGUCUGGAAUUAAUAUAGGUUUUGAGGAGGACAAUUAUAGUAGAAUUAAUGACUCCCUCAUCAUCCCAAGACCGUUUCACCUGAAAAGACCAAAAACCUCCAUUGGUGCAUUCAUUGUUAGCUGCCCAUAGGAGGAUUAUGGAGAGAGGAUGAGACAUGUAAAAGGAAAUAACAAACCUGAACUUCUUCUGGAAUAAAAACUCAGAGGAUCCCUUUCCAGGAAAGAUCUACUAUCCAUGAGUGUAGGUCUUCUGGGGAAGCAGAUUGCAGUCGCCACCAGGACCAGUCCUCCAGGAUGCACUGCAGGAAAUAACAGAAUUUAGCCUGUGAGGAUGGGUCAUCAGGUCCUGGAUGGUGCCACUGAGUCCUCUUUGGGGAUGAUGGGGAGACAUUUGGUGAGCCUGAGAGAGACAGGUCCUGUGGGGGUAGAAGUGUAAGAAGGUAGUGUUUUGUGUAGAGGUUUGUAUGGCUUAAUGUGUGAGAGGUGAUAUCAGUGGUGUAUUCCUCGUUCCUUUGCUGUCACAGGGGUAGAUAGUAGGACUGGGAAAGGCCCCUCCCAUGUGGGUGUUAAGGAUGACUCCUUUUUUCUUGACAUAGACCCAGUGCCCAGGAAGGACUGAGAGGUGAGUAGAAGUUGUAGGAAAGGAAAGGGGGAGGAGAUUAUCAGUGUGUUGCUUUAAGACUGCCCUCCUAUGGGCAAAAGCAGGGAAGUAGUCUCCCAGAGAUGGGUAAUUGUUCUCCGGGGUUUAGAGGACAAAAGCUGCCUAUACAUGAUCUCGAAGGGCUUAGAAGUAGUGGUUGUCGUGGUAUGGCCCUCAGUCUCAUUAGUGCCAGUGGGAGUAGUUCAGUCCAGGGCAUACGGAGCUCUAAGAAUAGCUUGGUUAGAUGGGUUUUUAAGAGAUGAUUGGCCUUUUCUACUUUACCUGAAGACUGAGGGUGGUAGGGGAUGUGGAGGUUCCAUUUGAUGUUUAAAGUUUGAGAGACCAACUGUAUUAUCUGAGAGACAAAUGUGAGGCCAUUAUCAGAUUGAGGAGACAUCAGAAAGCCAAAGUGGGGGAUGAUGUCAUGGGAAAGGCU